CGCACAUUGCGCCCACUGGUAUUCCGGUGGGCAUGCCUGUUCGAGCGUCAUUAUCCCCUCUCCAAACUCCGGUUUGGGCGUUGGGCCGAGUUGUGGCAACGCAACUGGUCUUAAAGACAAUGACGGCGUCCGUGGGACCCUCCUCGCAACGAGUCUUUCGAGGCACGCGGGGAGUUGCAAGGUCCCUCCGGGUCGGUCUAACCUUGUAAUUUUCUCAGGUUGACCUCGGAUCAGGUAGGAAUACCCGCUGAACUUAA
rnacentral:misc_RNA from 1 species